CUAAACCAUAUCCCUAAGCUCUACAUCUAAACGUCUUUUGAAGACUUCCAGGGAUGGUGACUCCACCACUUCCCUGGGCAGCCUGUUCCAAUGUCUACAUUUCAAUCAGUACAGCCAGCAAUAAAACAGCCACCAUGCAGUCGAGCAGGAUCAGGAUUCUCUCAGUUUGGUCUGAGGAGGUCUGGUUUCUGAUAGUCUACUCUGCUUUGAAGAGAGAUCAUCAUGGCACUGCUGGAAGUUGGCUGCAACAACCUGAACGGAUGAAAAAGGUUCUGUAGGUUGAGUGGAUGCUACUGCCAUUGUCUCCUCGAAAAUUUUAAUCGUCUGAAGCCAAAACCUGAUUUUUGAGCUCUGGCUUCCCUUAGGACAUUAUUUCUUGCAAAGUCAUUUCCUUGGCUAGUUUAAGGAAUAUUUUUAUGCUUGUGGUUUUGGUUUGUUUGUUCGAUACCAGGACACUCCAGUGUACCUUUGGUACCCCAGAACUAAAUUCCUACACUUAUCUUCUAUUAAUGCUAAUAGUGUGCAUUCCUUGGAAUCAGAGUAUGGCAGAGUAUGCAGAGUUAGGCUACACACAGUGAAAAAUAAAUCGUAUAAAAUGAAAAGCAGAUUGUCCAGCGGGAAUGUGGAUCAGCUGAAUACAAUUAGCUGGCCUGGGAUUUGGCUUGGCCAACGUGAGCCCCGGUAAUCCUGUUCUUCUGGGACCUCUAAUGACCAGGUUAGCCCAAACUGUGACAUGUAUCCUUCAGGAUGUUGUAUAUUUUUGGAAGAGAUUUGUACGCUACCCAAGUGUACUUUCUAGAACGCUAGCUUUAUUUUGAAACCUCCGUGCUGGCAUUGCAUAUAUCUUUUGUUUGUUUAAUCUGGCCUGGUUUGUUUAAUCUUUAAUAGGGUAGAGUUCUAAGAUGCUCUGAGGUGUUUGUGUUUUGUGUUGAAAUCUUGCUAACAUUGGCAUUUUUCAGUAAUUUCCUAUAUCUUUUUGUACUGCAUUUUGUACAGAUCCUUUUUUUCUGUGAAUCAAGUUCUUGUUUACUUGUCUGUGAUUUGUGAAACCUCUUUUUCGCCAACUUAAUUUGCAAGAUAAUAAACACGUUGCUGAAACAUUG